rnacentral:rRNA from 1 species
GAUGAACGCUAGCGGCAGGCUUAAUACAUGCAAGUCGUGGGGCAGCGGGAUGUAGCAAUACAUUGCCGGCGACCGGCAAACGGGUGCGUAACACGUACGCAACUUUCCCUUUACUGGAGGAUAGCCCACCGAAAGGUGGAUUAAUAUUCCAUAUUAAAAUGAGUUGGCAUCAACUUAUUUUCAAAGCUCCGGCGGUUAUGGAUGGGCGUGCGCCUGAUUAGGUAGUUGGCAGGGUAACGGCCUACCAAGCCUACGAUCAGUAACUGGUGUGAGAGCACGACCAGUCACACGGGCACUGAGACACGGGCCCGACUCCUACGGGAGGCAGCAGUAAGGAAUAUUGGUCAAUGGACGCAAGUCUGAACCAGCCAUGCCGCGUGAAGGAUGAAGGUCCUCUGGAUUGUAAACUUCUUUUAUAUGGGACGAAACCCGGGCAUUCCUGCCCGAUUGACGGUACCGUAAGAAUAAGCACCGGCUAACUACGUGCCAGCCGCCGCCGUAA